rnacentral:lncRNA from 1 species
AUCAAAUGACAAAAUCUAAAGCUCAAAAACAUCAAAUGAAUGGAUAACAUUUGUCAUAUUCCUGACCUGCACAGCAGUCAACAUUGUGUAGUAAUCAGUCCUAAUCACUAUUAAAAGAAACCUAUACACAUGUAUGUUACAAAGGAUCACAAAUAGGCAUAUAGACCUAUAUAUUGCAAAUGAAAGACCAGAAUACAGAAAUAAACCAUAGCACAACGCAAUGAUGGGAUGUACAUAGCCACAUCCAAUAUAUAUUUUUAAAAAAGGCAUAUAGACAAAAACACAAUAGAAAAAAAAAUAAAGACAAGAAAACAAAAACUUGCCAGAGCACAAUGACUGGAUGUAAAAGUACAGAGCUCAAGCCUUGUCGCAUAUAAUUGUAACUAAGAAACAUAAAAGGCAUAUAGAUGAAGAUAUUUUCACGGGUACAUUACCGCGAUAUAGCCUUUUUUUUUGCUAAUGCGGCGUAAAGCAACCA